rnacentral:rRNA from 1 species
UGGGAAACUGGGUCUAAUACUGGAUAUGACCUUCUGGCGCAUGCCAUGUUGGUGGAAAGCUUUAUUGCGGUUUUGGAUGGACUCGCGGCCUAUCAGCUUGUUGGUGGGGUAAUGGCCUACCAAGGCGACGACGGGUAGCCGGCCUGAGAGGGUGGACGGCCACACUGGGACUGAGACACGGCCCAGACUCCUACGGGAGGCAGCAGUGGGGAAUAUUGCACAAUGGGCGCAAGCCUGAUGCAGCGACGCCGCGUGGGGGAUGAAGGCCUUCGGGUUGUAAACCUCUUUCAGUAGGGAAGAAGCGAAAGUGACGGUACCUGCAGAAGAAGCGCCGGCUAACUACGUGCCAGCAGCCGCGGUAAUACGUAGGGCGCAAGCGUUAUCCGGAAUUAUUGGGCGUAAAGAGCUCGUAGGCGGUUUGUCGCGUCUGCCGUGAAAGUCCGGGGCUUAACUCCGGAUCUGCGGUGGGUACGGGCAGACUAGAGUGAUGUAGGGGAGACUGGAAUUCCUGGUGUAGCGGUGAAAUGCGCAGAUAUCAGGAGGAACACCGAUGGCGAAGGCAGGUCUCUGGGCAUUAACUGACGCUGAGGAGCGAAAGCAUGGGGAGCGAACAGGAUUAGAUACCCUGGUAGUCCAUGCCGUAAACGUUGGGCACUAGGUGUGGGGGACAUUCCACGUUUUCCGCGCCGUAGCUAACGCAUUAAGUGCCCCGCCUGGGGAGUACGGCCGCAAGGCUAA